rnacentral:rRNA from 1 species
UCCGUAGGGGGCAAGCGUUGUCCGGAUUUAUUGGGCGUAAAGAGCUCGUAGGUGGUUCGGUAAGUCGGAUGUGAAAUCUCCAGGCUCAACCUGGAGGGGUCAUUCGAUACUGCCGUGACUAGAGGUCGGUAGGGGAGUGUGGAAUUCCUGGUGGAGCGGUGAAAUGCGCAGAUAUCAGGAGGAACACCCGUAGCGAAGGCGGUUCUCUGGGACGGUACUGGACGCUGAGACGCGAAAGCGUGGGGAGCGAACAGG